GACGAACGCUGGCGGCGUGCUUAACACAUGCAAGUCACGGGGGCCCGCAAGGGCAACCGGCGAACGGGUGCGUAACACGUGAACAACCUGCCCUCGUGUGGGGGAUAGCCAUGCUAACGCGUGGGUAAUACCGCAUACGUUCUCUGAAGGGAGUCCUUUGGAGAGGAAAGCUCCGGCGCACGGGGAGGGGUUCGCGGCCUAUCAGCUAGUUGGCGGGGUAAUGGCCCACCAAGGCGACGACGGGUAGCUGGUCUGAGAGGAUGGCCAGCCACAUUGGGACUGAGAGACGGCCCAGACUCCUACGGGAGGCAGCAGUGGGGAAUAUUGCGCAAUGGACGAAAGUCUGACGCAGCAACGCCGCGUGAGGGAUGACGGCCUCGGUUGUAAC
rnacentral:rRNA from 1 species